GGGCUCCUUCGGGAGCACCGGCGGACUGCUCAGUAACACGUGGACAACCUACCCUCGGGUGGGGGAUAACCUCGGGAAACUGAGGCUAAUACCCCAUAGGCCUCGGAUACUGGAAGGUUCCGAGACUGAAAGCUCCGGCGCCCGAGGAUGGGUCUGCGGCCUAUCAGGUAGUUGGUGGUGUAAAGGACCACCAAGCCUACGACGGGUACGGGCCCUGAGAGGGGGAGCCCGGAGAUGGACUCUGAGACACGAGUCCAGGCCCUACGGGGCGCAGCAGGCGCGAAACCUUCGCAAUGCGCGAAAGCGCGACGAGGGGAGCCCGAGUGCCCUUCCUUUCGGGAGGGCUUUUCUGGAGCCUAAAAAGCUCCAGGAAUAAGGGCUGGGCAA
rnacentral:rRNA from 1 species